rnacentral:rRNA from 1 species
GACGAACGCUGGCGGCGUGCUUAACACAUGCAAGUCGAACGGAAAGGCCCUGCUUUUGUGGGGUGCUCGAGUGGCGAACGGGUGAGUAACACGUGAGUAGCCUGCCCUUGACUUUGGGAUAACUUCAGGAAACUGGGGCUAAUACCGGAUAGGAGCUCCUGCUGCAUGGUGGGGGUUGGAAAGUUUCGGCGGUUGGGGAUGGACUCGCGGCUUAUCAGCUUGUUGGUGGGGUAGUGGCUUACCAAGGCUUUGACGGGUAGCCGGCCUGAGAGGGUGACCGGCCACAUGGGUACUGAGAGACGGCCCAGACUGCUACGGGAGGCAGCAGUCGGGAAUAUUGCACAAUGGGCGGAAGCCUGAUGCAGCAACGCCGCGUGCGGGAUGACGGCCUUCGGGUUGUAAACCGCGUUCGCCUGUGACGAAGCGUGAGUGACGGUAAUGGGUAAAGAAGCACCGGCUAACUACGUG